AUUGAACGCUGGCGGCAUACUUAACACAUGCAAGUCGAACGGCAGCAUGACAUAAUUUCGGUUAUGUUGAUGGCGAGUGGCGAACGGGUGAGUAACGCGUAGGAAUAUACCCUGAAGGGUGGGAUAACUUGGGGAAACUCAAGCUAAUACCGCAUAAUCUCUGAGGAGGAAAGCUGGGGACCGUAAGGCCUGGCGCUUUAGGAUUAGCCUGCGUCCGAUUAGCUAGUUGGUGGGGUAAAGGCCUACCAAGGCGACGAUCGGUAGCUGGUCUGAGAGGAUGAUCAGCCACAAUGGGACUGAGACACGGCCCAGACUCCUACGGGAGGCAGCAGUGGGGAAUAUUGGACAAUGGGGGCAACCCUGAUCCAGCAAUGCCGCGUGUGUGAAGAAGGCCUGAGGGUUGUAAAGCACUUUAGUUGGGGAGGAUGGUAGACUAGGUUAAGAGCUAGGUUUAUUGACGUUACCCAAAGAAUAAGCACCGGCUAACUCCGUGCCAGCCGCCGCCGUAA
rnacentral:rRNA from 1 species